UACGAAGGGGGCUAGCGUUGCUCGGAAUCACUGGGCGUAAAGCGCACGUAGGCGGAUUGUUAAGUCAGGGGUGAAACUCCUGGAGCUCAACUCCAGAACUGUCCUUGAUACUGGCGAUCUCGAGUCCGGGAGAGGUGAGUGGAACUGCGAGUGUAGAGGUGAAAUUCGUAGAUAUUCGCAAGAACACCAGUGGCGAAGGCGGCUCACUGGCCCGGUACUGACGCUGAGGUGCGAAAGCGUGGGGAGCGAACAGG
rnacentral:rRNA from 1 species